rnacentral:tRNA from 1 species
CGGGGAGUAGCGCAGCCCGGUUAGCGCGCAGCGUUCGGGACGCUGAGGCCGGAGGUUCGAAUCCUCUCUCCCCGA